rnacentral:rRNA from 1 species
GAUGAACGCUGGCGGCGUGCCUAAUACAUGCAAGUCGAGCGAACAGACGAGGAGCUUGCUCCUCUGACGUUAGCGGCGGACGGGUGAGUAACACGUGGAUAACCUACCUAUAAGACUGGGAUAACUUCGGGAAACCGGAGCUAAUACCGGAUAAUAUAUUGAACCGCAUGGUUCAAUAGUGAAAGACGGUUUUGCUGUCACUUAUAGAUGGAUCCGCGCCGCAUUAGCUAGUUGGUAAGGUAACGGCUUACCAAGGCGACGAUGCGUAGCCGACCUGAGAGGGUGAUCGGCCACACUGGAACUGAGACGCGGUCCAGACUCCUACGAGAGGCAGCAGUAGGGAAUCUUCCGCAAUGGGCGAAAGACUGACGGAGCAACGCCGCGUGAGUGAUGAAGGUCUUCGGAUCGUAAAACUCUGUUAUUAGGGAAGAACAAAUGUGUAAGUAACUAUGCACGGCUUGACGGUACCUAAUCAGAAAGCCACGGCUAACUACGUG